GUGGAGGUGACUCUAUCAUCUGAAGGAAGUCAGCGGCAAAUUUCCGCCCCGAGGGAUACGAAUCUCAUACAAGGCUAGGCAAUACUGGAUUAGUCUGCACAUCAAGACAAAGUCCUUACUACCGAAGGUGUUACCGAGUAAAUGAGGCGGCGAUAUGGAAAGAAAGUUUAUGCC
rfam:Natranaerobius trueperi strain DSM 18760 ZB100001, whole genome shotgun sequence.